rnacentral:rRNA from 1 species
CUUCAAGUGAGUAAGAUCCCUCAGAGACGAUGAGGUUGAUAGGUCCGGGGUGGAAGCGUGGUGACACGUGAAGCUGACGGAUACUAAUCGAUCGAGGACUUAACUAA